AAAUUUUCUGUUUGAACUGAGUUCUUGGACAAUAAAUGUCAAGAACCCAAAUCGUUACAUAUAGAAUACAGAAAUCUGAAUCUCUUUACAUAAAUCGUCAGUUGUGGGAUCGUUAAUUUGAGUGUGUUAGCUAGUAAACCAAUCUCUUUACAUAAAUCGUCUGUUUUCCGAUUUAAGAUUUUUAGAAAUUCGAUUGUCUAUAGAUAUUAAAGGUUAGUAAAAUGAUUCAGUUUACACUUUUGUUUAGUCGAUAAGAACAUGUUAGCUACUGUUAGAGUUAAAUUCUUUUGAAGAAUGGAAUUUCAAUGUCAUCUUCUGAGCUAUUUAGAAUCCUGGGGCAAUAUUAACGGUUAGUGAUAUUUUAAUGAUAACACUAUUUAUUUGAAGAACAUGUUAGCUACUGUUUAAGCAUUUUAUUUUGAGAGAAAGGUUUAGGCUUGACGUUUUUUUCAUUGUAUGUUAAAUGAUUUUAUUAAAUUUGAGUUUGGAAAUGUAUAAUGUAUACAUGCAAGCAUAAUCUCGGCGUUACAUUCACAUGGAGGAGGCUUCUAUUGAUUUUGGCUGUGGAGAAGUUAGCACAGCCCUAUAUAAUGUUAAAGGCUUGAUUUUAGCAAGAUCGGUGAAUGCUAGUGGUGCAGCCGCCAUUUUCUUGGAAGGAACGGGAAGAGAAUAGCUGAUUGCUUUAAAAGAUCUCAAUCCUAAAUUCGAGAGCAUCAUAAAGGCCCUAAUAGGUGAAGCCCAAUAUGAUUGUUACGGAUACAAAUUCACAAUACGCAGGACCCGCGUGCUUUACCGACUAUGGUUGGAUAUAGGUCCGACCCUUAGACCCGAGAUCCGCGUGUAAGUGUCAAGCAAAUUCUCAAUUUCACCCCUCUACGAUUUUUUUUAUUUAGUUGUAGAAUCAAAAAUUUGUAAUGGCAUUUCUUUGUAAUUCUUUACA